CAUGUCAGUGGAAAGCCACUGGAACGUCAUUGAAGAAGACAAACUUGACAAAAGUCGAUCAUCAACUUCUUUUGAAUCUUGCUGAUUAUCAGUGUGGAAGUUAGUUUUGUUCUUCAACCUCGUACUUUUGAGUAGCCAAGAAGUACAGUAGUUGUAGCUGAUGGAAUGAUGUGUAGUUUUGAGACGCAACAAAUUGAUCUUACAGUUGAUCCACCAACAUGCUCACCAAGCAAUUUUGACGUGGACCAAUUCUCAAUACCUGGAGAGUACCAAGUCAGUCUCACAGUCCCAUCUUCACAUCCAGUUGCAAUCCAGCUUUAUUUGGACAAUAAUGCAUGCUUAUAAUAAUCUCCCAAGAGCAUAUCUCCAUGUAUGAAGCACAAUGAAUGUAUCUCCCUCCCAUGGAAUUGCAUAUGCAAACUCAAAGGGUAUAUUUUUCCAUUGUUAUCAUUAACCCAGUUGUCGCACCUCGAAAAAAUGGGGAUACGACUUUAAAGUCAAGCGCGAUCGCACGCUCGCAUUGAUGGACUGAACAGAGUCGCCACCGAACUUUAUUUAUUCCUAAAAAGAAAAGGGGAAAUAUCGAUAAAACCUCUAAAAGAAAGGAUAAGAUAUGGUCAUCGCAACCAACAUCAGGGUUCGGGAGUCGAUUACGCAAGGGGAAGGUAUUAGCACCCCUCACGUCCGUUGUACUCAACGGGAACCAUUAGGUUAGUUGUGUGCGUUAGUGUUAGUUGAAAUGUUAGGCUUUUCGAAUUAUUAGGUGGGAAAGAAAGAAAGGAUGAGAAGAGAAUGUUUUUGGAUUUUUGA